rnacentral:rRNA from 1 species
GACGAACGCUGGCGGCGCGCUUAACACAUGCAAGUCGAACGGAAAGGCCUGCUUUCCCUUGUGGAUUGCGGGUACUCGAGUGGCGAACGGGUGAGUAACACGUGAGUGAUCUGCCCCCAACUUGGGUAUAAGCCUGGGAAACUGGGUCUAAUUCCCGAUAGGACUGCAGGGUGGUGCCUGUGGUGGAACACGAUUUUCUAGUGGUUGGGGAUGAGCUCGCGGCCUAUCAGCUUGUUGGUGGGGUAAUGGCCUACCAAGGCGGCGACGGGUAGCCGGCCUGGGAGGGUGGACGGACACAUUGGGACUGAGAUACGGCCCAGACUCCGACGGGAGGCAGCAGUGGGGAAUAUGGCACAAUGGGCGGAAGCCUGAUGCAGCGACGCCGCGUGGGGGAUGACGGCCUUCGGGUUGUAAACUCCUUUCGACCGCGAGGAAGCCACCUGGUUGGAAGGGUGGUGACGGUAGUGGUAGAAGAAGCACCGGCUAACUACGUG